rnacentral:rRNA from 1 species
UACGUAGGUGGCAAGCGUUGUCCGGAUUUACUGGGCGUAAAGAGCGCGCAGGCGGUCGUUCAAGUCGCGUGUGAAAGCCCCCGGCUCAACUGGGGAGGGUCACGCGAUACUGAUCGACUGGAAGGCAGGAGAGGGUAGUGGAAAUUCCCGGUGUAGUGGUGAAAUGCGCAGAUAUCAGGAGGAACACCAGUGGCGAAGGCGACUACCUGGCCUGUUCUUGACGCUGAGGCGCGAAAGCUAGGGGAGCAAACGGGAUU